UACGAAGGGGGCGAGCGUUGUUCGGAAUUACUGGGCGUAAAGGGCGCGUAGGCGGCCUUCUAAGUCGAACGUGAAAUCCCCGGGCUCAACCCGGGAACUGCGUCCGAUACUGGAAGGCUUGAAUCCGGGAGAGGGAUGCGGAAUUCCAGGUGUAGCGGUGAAAUGCGUAGAUAUCUGGAGGAACACCGGUGGCGAAGGCGGCAUCCUGGACCAAUUCUGACGCUGAGGAGCGAAAGCCAGGGGAGCAAACGGG
rnacentral:rRNA from 1 species